GCCUGGGCGACAGAGCAAGACUUUGUCUCAAAAUAAAUAAAUAAAUAAAUAAAGGUGUGAAUACAAGAAGCAAAGAGAAAAUAUGCAAAGCUACUUUGUUUCUGUGAUUGGUCAUUAAGGUUGUAGUUUAUACCUAUGGCUUCCUUCUGCGGGAAGCCAAUUCCGUGUUAUUCUUGCCCUCAGUCAGAACUUCAGUUGCUGUGGGUUCUUUAUGUGGUGGAAUGACUGAAAUUUUAUUGCCAAAGUGUCUGAAUCUUUAUUGUUCUUACCCCUUCUCCUCCCCACACCUGUUUUUUGGUUGCUACGUAGUUUUCCAUCAACCUUUACUAUUGAAGAUGGAAGAACUAGAGGUACCUCAGAGAAUCUGGGUUCCAGACAUAGUCCUCCUUUCUACCCUUGUGUAGCAACUCAGUUUCCCAUUGGUCAUCAGGAUCAUUCUCUCCAGCCAGAUUAACUCUCCUUUCUCACCUCAUCCCCUUUUUUCCCUGCUUAGUUCAACAACAUAUGGAGCCCAAAAUGUCCAGGUGACAGUCUCAUCUUCCAAACCAGGGAAGAACCAUUGUGGUGUCUCCUUGUGGAAGCAUCCCCCUCUUGGGAACAAAGAUCUCCAAACCAUCAAAGCUCAAAGUUACCAGGAUAGAGAGCGAACAUUCUUCUAGUGGGUUAUUGGGUGGAAUAGUGAGAGGAGCCACUCCUACACCCACUCUUUGAUUCCUGGACUAUCCUGGCUAUGAGGGAGACAGCACUAGAUAGUGGCCUCUGAUUCAAAACCUAAACUGCAUCCUGUAAAGCAGAACCCAUUUCUUUCAGGGUGUUGUCUCCCAGUUGACACUGUAACAGAUUUUAGUGAGCCAUUUCACCUUUCCGUUAAGCUAAUUGCUUCUAGGUGAUGGGGAGUGGAGUAAGACCAGCGAAUUCUACGGCCAUGAGCCCACUGCUUCACUUCCUUUGCAGUGAAGUGAGUUCCCUGAUCAGACACAAUGCAGUGUGGAAUGCCAUGAUGGUCGAUAAGGCAUUCUGUGAGUUCACAGGUGGCAGCGCUGGCUGAAGCAUUAUGAGCAGGGAAGGCAAACCCACAUCCAGAAUAUGUGUCUAUUCCAGUGAGGAUGAAUCUCUGUUGUUUGGAUAGUUUUAUUCUGUCGGCAUAAAAAAAACUGGGCACACAGGUUAAUGACUAGGUUACCCUGAAAUAGGCUAAUGCAUUAUUCUUUUCCAUAAUAGCACAUCUCAUUUUGAAACAGUAGAACUUCAUAAAAGUGAGAAAGAGAGUAUGAACAUUUUAGUGGUAGGAUUCUAAAGUGAUUAUGUCCCCCUAAGAAGGAAAUGUUUCCCUCUUGAAGGUAGAACUACCACCCCAACCAUCCUAAAGAGACAGAUGCCUGGCCGGACACAGUGGCUCACGCCUGUAAUCCC
rnacentral:lncRNA from 10 species